rnacentral:lncRNA from 1 species
ACUAGCAAACAACCUCAGCUUCAUAAAUCCAGCAGAAAGGUCCGGGGUAUUGUUGAAAAGGUCGGAAGGACCAAGAUUAUGUCCGCCAGCCUAAGUGGGACGAACAACCAAGUUGUGCGAUGCAGCUUUAAAGGGGCUGGUGAUUGACAGAAUGGUGUAGUAGUAGAUGGGGUGGAGCCGCUGGGUGGGGUCGAGACUGGCAGCUGAGAGAUACCAAAAGGAAGAAAAAAGAAAACCAUUGCUCUUGAUAUUGCUAAUGCCGGGGGAGGUAAGCUAACGAGAAAGUAGGGAAAAGGAAGGUUUUAGAGUUCACCUCCACUCCUUCCCCUGGCUAACACUCUUUACACUCUUCUGCCUUCCCUUGAGAUAAUUAAAAUAGACUGUACACCGGCCCUAGUCGGUGCCCAUUCCCCCUAACUCUUCACUCAACUACGUGUGUAGUCCGAGGGAGUGAGGACCCCGGGUCCAAGAGCUCAAUCCCGGCCCCGCCCCGUCGGCCCAGGCCCCGGGGCUGGGAGGAGAGGAUGCCUUCGGAGGCGCAGAAUCCGAAAAGAUGUGGUUGGAGCUGGAAGCUGUUAUCCUCAGCAAACUAAUGCAGGAGGAGAAAACCAAAUACUGCAAGUUCUCACUUAUAAGUGGGAACUGAAUGAUGAGAACAUUUGGACAUGGUAAGGGGAGGACAACAUGCAGUGGGGCCUGUUGGGGAGUAUGGCAGGAGGGAAAGCAUCAGGAAAUUCACUAAUAGAUGCUGGGCUUAAUAACUUGAUGAUGGGAUGAUCUGUGCAGCAAACCACCAUGGCACAUGUUUACUAAUGUAACAAACCUGCACAUUCAGCACAUGUACCCCUGAACUUAAAAUAAAGCAAAAUAAAAAUAAAAA